rnacentral:misc_RNA from 1 species
GUCUGGUGUCGAAUUUUCUUAAAGGUAACGCAUCUGUUUCUGUUUGCUUGUGUGGAUUUUUGUGGGUUCGUGGAGACAUUAUCUCUUCGUUUUUAUGGGUUUUAUUUCUUUGUGAUGAUUCAUGAAUCAUGAAUAUAUAAUUGUGUAUGUUAAUAUCAGUAUAUUUGUCUAUAUGGGUUGCGUUUCCGUGGAUUGAUUUGUGUGGUUUUUGGUUUUGUUUUAAUGGGAUUUAGCAUGAGUCUUUUUUCUCAUGUUUGUUUACACGUUUACUUGACUGAUUCAGUGUUGGUUGUUUUCAUUGCUCUGGUUUUUUUUUUUGUGGGCCUACCAAACUUGCUUGAUUAAUUUCAUAGUAUUUUGUUGAAUUUCCCAAUUUACUCCAAUUCCACUCUAAUUUCAAUUGUUGAGAUGUCUGUUGUAUGCAAUGUUGAUCUGUUUAUCUGCUGAAAUUUUAUUUAUCUGGGUUCACUGAUGUGAUCAUCACUGCAUCAGCAAGCUUGAUAUCACGCAAUCCCUAAACUGUUAGUUGCAAUGGGCGUGUUUAAUCGUGUUACUUUUCAUCUUUGGCUCACUUUAAUCAAUUUUGGUCAUAUCAUUUUUUUUUUGUGAGUGAUGAAUGCUUCGCAUUCCUUGUCCUCUUUCCCCCCAUUAUCUCUCUCUCUCUCUCUCU